rnacentral:lncRNA from 1 species
UCACCUUGCAGUCCGUUCCCGUUGGCGCUGGUGCAGGAAGGAGGAGGCGAGGCUUGGGGCCGGACCACGGGCGCAAAAGCGCUCUUCUGUUUCACUGCGGAGAUGACAUUGGCAGCCAGCUUGGAUAAUCUUAUCACGCCAACCCUACCACUGGUGAGACCUGUUCCAUCUCUGUUGGCUUCGACGGCCAGCCAAAGCAUGCUUCGAUCUAACCUUCAGCUGUUUCUACACACUGCUUUAGAAGCAAUUAUCAACAGCUUGGAUUCCUGACCUGCUACCCCACUCUCUCUGAACUUUCAGCCUCAAUAGACCUUCAAAUGCCAUGGCUGACAAAGAGAGCUUGUUUGUGGCCGUAACUCCUCUGGAAAGACUGUUUGGGGGGCAGAGGGGGGGGUCCUUCAUUUUCACUGUUGCUGUCUCUGUGAGCGUGAGUAGGGUGGGCGCCAUAGCUUCUUGCCUGCUGUAUAGCGUGGGUAACUGGUAGCCAGCAGAACAGGGGGUGGGGUGGGGCUCUGAGAUGGCUGCCUGCAUCAUUUUUUUUUAUAGAGGAAGUGAAUUAAACUGGGCUCACAGAACCUGCUCAAAGGACACCAGAUUGUGACUUCAACAGCCCUGGUCACUGUCCUGUGGGAUACGAUACACCAUGGGGGGGAAAUGGAUGGCUUUCUCCAUGGAUUCAGACCAGGAAGGGAACCCAAAUACCCCCCAUGAACAUCCAAGAAGGCUCCUCCUGGCUUCCUGUGUUAUAGCUGCCCUAUGGCUCUGCCCAUUCUUGUCAAAGAACACAGAGUCACUUACAAAUAAGCUAAGGGACACUUAUAGCAAUACCAGGGAGCUGAGUGGCAGCCGAUGGAGCUACUGUCACUAGGACUGGGUUCUUUGAGUGUUCUCUGCCCAGAACAGCUGGAAGAUGUGCGGCAAGGUCUUCCCUGCAAGAAGGAACCAGCCAUGCCUAAGGGCAUGGAAUGUGACCAGCACUCCCCAGCUGGGCCCCAACACCUCCACCUGUAACUAUUGCCUCAACCCACCCUGGGGAGGGAGCCAGGGAAGGCUCCGCCUGGCAGAGUGGCCUACCUUGGUCAUUGGCUUGUGAGGUCUCUGACACAUUAACGGCUAGCUGGCUGCUGAAGGAGUUCACACCCAUCAUGCCAGUGUGUGCUGGGGUGUUGCCCAGGGUGGGGAUCUGGUUGUGAUUGCGGGGAACGCUGUACAACGCCUCAGCAAUGUCGGCCGCUCUCUUCAGGAUGAUCUCCUACAGCAACAGCAAUACCUGUGUAAGCCUAUGAUAUCAUACGUGCGUGGCCAGGUUACAAUGGCCACAUCCCACGCACUAUGGACCUGUCCUCUUGGUGGGGCAAGCAAUGAUGACAUGGCCCAGACUAUGACAAAAUCCUUAGGAAAACUGUCAAAGGAUGCUUCUAAGUGGCUACAUCUUGUCCUUAAGACCCGAAGCCCUAAACCCUAGGACAGGCAGAAGGCAGCAGACUCAGAAUUAAGAAACCAGGCCCCCUCCAGAAGAAAUGAGCUUCUCUUCCAUGGGGCUUCACGGUCUGUGAGAAUAAGCUACGGGGUGCCCAUAUGCCCUCUCUGAGCCCCAGAAACACCUAAUACACCUCACCUGCUACUGAGUACUAUGGAACUUCAAAGACCCACCAACUCCCCUUUGUGAGCCACCCUCCUCAACUGCUCUUAUUCUACUGGAAUAUUUAGUGUGAGGCAUGGUUUUGGUGCUGAAACAGGGCGCUAUGUACCUAGGAGGCCCAUGGUGCCUGUCUAAGCUGAGCGUGCUGAGUCCAGGAAAGGCAGGGUCCACCUACCUGGUUAUUGUGAGGCAUCCCAUACAAGGCUUCCACAAGGUCUGCUGCCCUCUUCAGUAACACUUCCUAAAGGGAAGCACACAGGGUCUUAUGGAGGCAGGCGUGAGGGAGUACAACUCAUCUAAGACAGCACUUCACGCAGCUACAAGAGACCAGCUCCCUCCACCAGACCCUGCCCACCUCUGCCAUGAACUCUCUGAAAGGCAAACACAGGUGGCCCUGCUGGGUCUUUCAAAGUUCAUGUGAGCCUAAAUAAACAGCCUUCCUAGGGCUGUGCCAAACCAGCAACCUGGCAGCAGCAUGUGGCACAAAGGAGAGCAUACUUGGAGGAGCCUCACCCACGCCCAGGGUUUAAUGAUGCAGUCUUCUGGGUAUUACACAAACACACAUGGCAGAGAUAUGAAGGGCCCCGGCAUCACAUUUGUCUGUUAAUUCCUAACACUUUAGUGGUGAAGAACAAUAAGUAAUUUUCCAUAUCUUAAUUAAACUGGCAGAGUCCUUAAAGACAACAUCUCACCCUGAAUUCACGCCCCAAAUUUGCAAGUGAGUUCAGCACUUAUUUCUCUUUAUUUUGAACAAUAAAGUGAAUUAACUUGG